rnacentral:lncRNA from 1 species
UAUCAUAUGAAAUCUAACGAGUCCGAUGAGAAUGACGGAACUGUUGGAUUAAAAAAAACACUCUACUGUUUAGAAGACGAUAUAAAGACAACUCUACUGCUGAUCUCCCAGUGUCUCGGUUACUUGUACUGAUAUCAACAUGAUCAUCUGUUACAUACACGAUUCUAUUUGACCCAUGAGCUGUUAACACCCCGGAAAUUUUUGAGAGAACCAUUAGUUCAGCCAUCAUACUGAAACCAAAGAGACAAAUCCUUAUAGAGUAAGAUGAUUACAGAGUUUACCUGCAGUUUU